GGCUCACACUGACACAGACAUCAAUCCAGACAGACAAGACAAGACAUCUUCCAGUUUUCCGCCUGAGAUGGAAAAGAUUUCUUUGAGCCGUUUUUUCUGGGGAGUGGGGGGUGGGGCUGGCGGCCAGGCAGGCUUUGGGAAGGAGCUCAGGGUUUGGAAUUGCAUAUGAAAAGAACCAGCUUUCCGGGUUCCAAGGAAUCAAGUUUCCUUGGAAACCAACUUUGUCCGGUUCUAUAGAAUAUCAUGGCCCUCCUAGGUCAGGUCGUCUUUCCUUUCCGUAGCCCUCGUUGGAUCCCUGAAUUCUAGACAGCUUGGAUUGCCUCUGUGGGCUGGAUGGAUUGUCCUCCCGUUUCACCGGGCGGCGGGAGCGAGGUCCCAGAGGCUCUCCUGGAACCGGGCGUGGGGGCGGGGCUCACCGGGAGCCCGUGGUGAAGAAAAGAUUCCGAAAAAUGAGGGAAACAGGAAGCCCCAGAGGUGCCCCUGUAGUUUGGCGAAGGCUAGGAGGUCACUUGGAAAUGCGCUGGCUGUGAGGGGGGAGGGGGCAGAUGUGCACAGAGCUGUGCAGGCUGUCCUUUGCAUGGAUGUUCUUUGUAGAAAUCCACCUCGGAGCCAUCUCCUGAUGUGUAAGAAUUUCCCAGACCAAACCUUGAGCUAAGCAAUGCGUUUUUUCCUUAGGAAAUGUUGGUCUUCAGCGAUGUUCAAAGCCUGUGUAUUUCCGCUAGACUCUGGCUUCAGGUCGGUUCCCCCAAAAGGCUCCGAAGCGACCUGAACCAAACAGUAAGUUUUCCUCCUACCUUGUUCUCCUCAUCUAGUUAAGAGUAUACUU
ensembl:lncRNA